rnacentral:rRNA from 1 species
UACAGAGGUGGCAAGCGUUGUUCGGAAUUACUGGGCGUAAAGGGCGCGUAGGCGGCCCGUCAAGUCCCGUGUGAAAGCCCCCGGCUCAACCGGGGAACGGCGCGGGAAACUAGCAGGCUUGAGUUCGGGAGAGGGAAGCGGAAUUCCGGGUGUAGCGGUGAAAUGCGCAGAUAUCCGGAGGAACACCGGUGGCGAAGGCGGGUCUCUGGGCCGAUACUGACACUGAGGAGCGAAAGCGUGGGGAGCGAACAGGG